UACGUAGGGUGCAAGCGUUAUCCGGAAUUAUUGGGCGUAAAGAGCUCGUAGGCGGUCUGUCGCGUCUGCUGUGAAAACUGGGGGCUCAACCCCCCAGCCUGCAGUGGGUACGGGCAGACUAGAGUGCGGUAGGGGAGAUUGGAACUCCUGGUGUAGCGGUGGAAUGCGCAGAUAUCAGGAAGAACACCGAUGGCGAAGGCAGAUCUCUGGGCCGUAACUGACGCUGAGGAGCGAAAGCAUGGGGAGCGAACAGG
rnacentral:rRNA from 1 species